UGCCUCAGUAUUGACAGUUAGUAAUUUGGCA
rnacentral:piRNA from 1 species